rnacentral:rRNA from 1 species
AGAGUUUGAUCAUGGCUCAGAACGAACGCUGGCGGCAGGCCUAACACAUGCAAGUCGAGCGCCCGCAAGGGAGCGGCAGACGGGUGAGUAACGCGUGGGAACGUGCCCUUUGGUUCGGAAUAUUCCCGGGAAACUGGGAGCAAAACCGGAUAAGCCCUUCGGGGGAAAGUUUACGCCAAAGGAUCGGCCCGCGUUAGAUUAGGUAGUUGGUGGGGUAACGGCCUACCAAGCCUACGAUCUAUAGCUGAUCUGAGAGGAUGAUCAGCCACACUGGGACUGAGACACGGCCCAGACUCCUACGGGAGGCAGCAGUGGGGAAUCUUGGACAAUGGGCGCAAGCCUGAUCCAGCCAUGCCGCGUGGAUGACUGAAGGCCCUAGGGUUGUAAAGUCCUUUCGACGGGGACGAUAAUGACGGUACCCGUAGAAGAAGCCCCGGCUAACUUCGUGCCAGCAGCCGCGGUAAUACGAAGGGGGCUAGCGUUGUUCGGAUUUACUGGGCGUAAAGGGCGCGUAGGCGGAUUUUUAAGUCGGGGGUGAAAUCCCGGAGCUCAACUCCGGAACUGCCUUCGAUACUGGAAGUCUGGAGCACGGUAGAGGUGAGUGGAAUUCCGAGUGUAGAGGUGAAAUUCGUAGAUAUUCGGAGGAACACCAGUGGCGAAGGCGGCUCACUGGACCGUUGCUGACGCUGAGGCGCGAAAGCGUGGGGAGCAAACAGGAUUAGAUACCCCGGUA